rnacentral:rRNA from 1 species
CUACGGGGUGCUCCAGUGGGGAAUAUUGCACAAUGGACGAAAGUCUGAUGCAGCAACGCCGCGUGGAGGAUGACACAUUUCGGUGCGUAAACUCCUUUUAUAUAGGAAGAUAAUGACGGUACUAUAUGAAUAAGCACCGGCUAACUCCGUGCCAGCAGCCGCGGUAAUACGGAGGGUGCAAGCGUUACUCGGAAUUACUGGGCGUAAAGAGCGUGUAGGCGGGUUUGUAAGUUGGAAGUGAAAUCCUAUGGCUCAACCAUAGAACUGCUUCCAAAACUGCUUACCUAGAAUAUGGGAGAGGUAGAUGGAAUUUCUGGUGUAGGGGUAAAAUCCGUAGAGAUCAGAAGGAAUACCGAUUGCGAAGGCGAUCUACUGGAACAUUAUUGACGCUGAGACGCGAAAGCGUGGGGAGCAAACAGGAUUAGAUACCCUAGUAGUC